AUCAUGAAUCCUGGGUUGUAUGGUAAGAAAAUAUUUAGUUUUAUAAGAUAGUGACAAACUGUUUUCCAAAGUGACUGUACCAUUUGCAUUUCCACCAGCCAU
rnacentral:pre_miRNA from 1 species